CACUAUUAAAAUCUUGGAGGAGAGAGAUUUUUACACUCAGACUCCUACUGACUUUAGAGGACUGACUGAACUGUUAGAAAUCACAGUGAAGUCUGGCAGUUCUUUGUAAUUCAGCCAUAGCCAGACAAAGAGGUUUUGUGUUAAAUGAAGUUUGCAAGUCUUGACUGAAGGUUUAAUUACCAUAGUCAUAAGCAGGGCACACUUUAGGGGGUUUGACCAUAACAAAUGAAUAAGACAUUGAUGUUCAUUCAAUAGUGGCAAGUUUCAAACAGAGGAUAGGUCUGUUAGUUGGUGUGCGUUCUCUUUUGCCUUUCAGAAACCUGAAGGACAAAGUAUUACAUAAUGUUUGGUGAUAUUGGUGAUACUAAGCCUGGGCAGCA
rnacentral:lncRNA from 1 species